AUGAAAAAAAUUGAUGUUGUUGCAUGUCGUGGCGGGGACGGCCGUGUAGCAGCCGUAUGCGCACUGCUUGUGCUGGGCGCCGAUCUGGAGGCCCCUGAUAGGAAGGGACACCACUGGAGCUGCUGCGGGAUGACAAUGAAUGAACAUGUGAUCGCUAUCCAGAUUAGUCAGGCCAUCUUGCAAAUAACUAUGGGAUACAUUACUGAUAUUUUCUUAGGAUGGCCAAAUAGACAUGCAUUCUUUGGUAGGUUAAGUUUUGUUAUUCUUUGUACUUAUUUGCUCAAUCUUUGUAGUGAAAUAGUGCAAGAUGAGGAACUGGCUCAACUUCAGAGUUUCAGUUAA
rnacentral:rRNA from 1 species